ensembl:lncRNA
ACGGACUAAAAGCUGUUUUGACAGCUUCUACACAAUGAGAAUGAUUUCUUUUUCUCUGUUAUAUGUAAUCUGUUAAUCUAGUAAUGUAAUGUAAUUUUGAUGAUUCAUAUUUAAAACACAAUUAUUUUAAUAGGAUCAAUCUUAGGACCGAUCUAGUUUCUCUAAUCCUAUGACUUUGGUCUCAACGGUUGGUAGUAAAAUGUCAACAACAUUUAAAUGGAAACUUUUGUGGCAUAUCUUUUUCAAUUUGUGGUUUUAUCUUUAAAAAAAAAAAAAAAAAAAAAAACACAAACAACUUAUCUUAUUAUAAUCUUGUUAUCAUAAGAUCAUUACAGGUUUUCAUACCAAAACAUGCUGGAAAAAGCUGUUAUAUCAUAUCUAUGACUAUAAUAAAUGGACGUGAGAUUUAUUUUUGAUGUAAUUAUAUAAAAAUGUAUAGUGUAGACAAGCAGUUUGUGGGUUAUUCAAAGCUUGACUAUUUUGGGGUUUGGGGUGAGAAGCGCGCACACACAUGCACACACUUCUUUGGCAGCUGACUAUGACCUCUUCUGCCCCACAAUCUAACAGAUUCAACCACACACACACCCUGGAACACACAUCCAAGUGUUUUUUGCUCCAGUUGCCUUCUUUAAUGACUUCAACAUGGGCCUUCAAACAUUUUUUAUUUUAGCAAUGGUUCUGAAUUUUGCUCACAGCAGGGACAUGCAAGAUUCAGAAACCAGAGACUUGGUUCUUCAACAAACAGUGACAGGGAUUUUGGGGGAAGAGGUCUACUUGCGUUGUCUGUACACUGGACAAAGUAGCAUAACGUUCUCCUCCUGGAACCGUAUCGAUUCUUCAAACAAGGCAAAGAAAAUGGCAGGCUACAAAUCCAAUGAGAACUCUUUCAAAAGAGAAAACUUUGACAUCCCAGCAUCAAUUACAAACCUUACUGUAAAGGUGAACGUGACAAGUUUUGAUCAAGAGGGAGAAUACACAUGUGUCUUUGACUCUGAUGAGGAUGAAACCAAGGAAACCAUGUUUCUUACUGUUAUUGCUCGGCCUGAUGUUGACAUAACUAUGAAAAAGGAAGUUGUGAAUGGGACUCUCUACCAUGCUGUCACUUGCUCUGCCUCCAGUGCCAAGCCUGAGGCUGUGAUUAGAUGGGAGAUCUCUGGUGCCCUUCCAAGAGAUGACAUCUUCUCUGUGAACUUGAUUAAUCCAGUUCAUCCCAAUGGCACAACCAGUUCAAUCAGUGUACUUCGCUUCCCCCUAAUUAUGAAUAAUGAGAGCACUGUUACCUGUGUGGUUGAGCAUCCAGCUUUUACUGAACCCAAAAGAGCCAAGAUAGAGGUGGACACAUUUGUUUCUCCUGUUAUAAGCAUGAAGACCGUCCUGGUCCAAAAAGGAGGAGAAGACUUUCAAGAGGUCAUCUGUACAGCAACAGGAGGGAGGCCACAUCCAAAUAUCACAUGGAUACUGCCUGAAUUCAAAAACACACCACCUUUACAGAGAAAUGUCUCCAAACCAGAUUCUGUUAUCAGUUCAUAUCAGUUCCCAUCAGAUCCUUAUGAAGGAGAAAAUAUCUCUUGUGUAUUUAGCUAUGCGUUUCUCCCAUUCAUAAACACAAGCACAAUCACUUUGCCAAUUUACUAUCUUUCCUCACUUCAGCUGAAGAACUUGGAUUAUGCCAUUAACAGUGAGAACCAGACUUCAUUGUCACUUGUGGAGGGUGGCAUGGACAUUACAAUCAGGAUGGAUGUUUUAGGCAAUGUACCAAGUUAUAAAGUGAAAUGUUCCAGGGAAGGCCAACCACUACCUGAGGAUGUGGAUUUGGUUGGCAACAGUCUCUUAGUCAGAGGACCUGUUGAGCUGCACCUUGCUGGACAAUAUCUCUGCCAGGCCUCUUACCGUAGACAUCAAGUUUCCCUGCAGUUUACAAUUAAAGUAAAUCCAAAAGUCCUACUGCCAGUGACAUUUCCCCCAAAUAUCAGCGUGAAUUAUGUAGAGAAUUCAGACUACAUUCACAUUGAGUGUUUGGCCUCCAAUGCUGUACCUGCUGCAAAUGUGUCCUGGGUUCUUUCAAAAGAGAUUAAUAGUACAAUUCAGUCUGAAGAAACACACUAUAAUGGAUCUAAUUCUGUCAGAAGUGUGUUGACUGUGCCUAGCUGCAUGACCCGCAGAUAUGUAAUUGAGUGUGUAGUCGACCAUCCUGACUUCACGGAAGAAGAGAGGCGGCAGAUUGCUCUUCCUGUGUGUGCACCACCGAAUAUUACCCUGCAGUCUAGUGUUGAAUGGGACAGUGGCAUUGCUUACGCAUCACUGGUGUGUUCAGUGCAGAGCCAGACCCCAGCAGCGGCCAUCACCUGGGCUGUAGAGUGCCAUGGCAUUAAUAAUAACUCUAGUGAACUUGUAAUGACUCAACCUGAGCUUCAGCAGAGUCAUAUGGUUGUCGCUCAGAGCGUGGCACAUAUUCCUAUUUACUCACAUGCCGGAUGCACUGUGACCUGUGUGGUUGAGCAUCAAGGGUUAGAGAAACCAGAGAACAAGAGCAUCGUCCUCCCAUCCUUAGGGCCGUCUGUAAGCCGUGCGUUUCUGGGUGAAGAGAGUUACACUCUUAUUUGGCAUGCUGUGUGUGAGUACAGCGGCGAUGGGGUGAAACCCAACAUCUCCUGGGUCUUUCCCGAUGAAGACACUGUAAUACUGGUGACUACUGAAUCCAGAUAUGAUGGAAUCAAAGUAGAAGUCAAUUUAACUCAUGAAUUUCAACUCAGUCAGUAUGAGGGGAAAGAUUUGAUAUGUCUGAUCCAGAACAAGCUCGGCAGGGAUGAAAGACGGACAAUACAUGUUCCAAAAUACUCUAUCUCAUCUAUUGAGGUUUUAAACAAAACCACACUUGAUCGUAGAAGUCAUGGCCAGAAUGAGCAUCGUUUAGCACUGCAAGAAAACCUCUCGAAUCAGAAGAUACUUCUCAGAGCCCACGGCAAUGUUCCAUCGUACAAGACAACAUGUUACAGGGAGGACGGGUCAGCAGCUGACACAGAGGACAUGGCAUUAGUUUUUACAGUGCCGGUGUCUGAACUGGAUGCAGGAUUGUACAUAUGCCAAGUCUCGUACCAUCACCACACGGCUAAUGUUUUCAUUCGGGUGGAUGUAACUAGUGAUGAGACUCAACACAUGAUAUUCAUCAUUAUUUGCUUCUCGUCAGCUGCUGCAAUCACCCUCAUCUUGAUUAUCAUUUUGGUUGUCCUCUGUAAAAGUGGGAGAAGUCACUCAUCAGAAAAUGGCCAAAAGAAAAACAGGACAGAGCGUGAGUCUCUAGCAGCUCUAAUGCAGGAUCCUCGCUGCGCAGAGAAGACGGUGAUUCCAAGCACGGCUGGGCCGCACUAUGCUGAGCUUGUGCACUAUUCCAUUGUUUUUGAUGCUAAAAGCACAGUGUGACACUCCUGUUGGGUUUUACGACUGUAAUAUAUCAGUUUUUGCACAUACUUGUGGAGUUUGUGGCAGCUUGAGUGCAUGCUUUUAAAAAGGGAACAUGCUUAAGAAAUUCAUUCAUUUUUAAUCAGACUGUUUUGCUGAUGAUAUAAUAUGUAAUGGAAAAAGAAAAUGGAAAUUUACUUAAAGUUUUCUCUACCCAGGCCAUCCAAGAUUUAGAUAAGUUUGUUUCUUUAUCAGAACAGAUGAAAGUGAUGUGACAUACAGCCAAGUAUGGUAACCCAUACUCGGAAUUCGUGCUCUGCUUUUAACCCAUCCAAAGUGCACACACACAGCAGUGAGCACACACACCCGGAGCAGUGGGCAGCCAUUUAUGCUGCGGCGCCCGGGGAGCAGUUGGGGGUUCGGUGCCUUGCUCAGGGGCACCUCAGUCAUGGUAUUGAAGGUGGAGAGAGCGCUGUACAUUCACUCCCCCCACCUACAAUUCCUACCGGCCCGAGACUCGAACUCACAAACCUUGGACUGCAAGUCCGAUUCUCUGACCAUUAGGCCACGACUUCCCUGAUUUGGAGAAAUUUAGCAUUGCAUUAGUUACUCACCAAUGGAUCCUCUGCAGUGAAUGGGUGCCAUCGGAAUGAGAGUCCAAACAGCUGAUAAAAACAUCCCAAUAAUUCACAAGUAAUCCAUAUGACUGUGAUCCAGUCUAUCAAUUAAAUCUUGUCAAUUGAAAAUCUGUGUGUUUUUAAUAAACACAUUAAUCAGGCUUCUCCA